rnacentral:rRNA from 1 species
GUACGGCGAGUGAGCGGUACAGCUCAAUUUGAAUCUGGGUCUUUCAGGCUCCGAGUUGUAAUUUGUAGAAGAUGCUUCGGGUGCGGCUCCGGUCUAAGUUCCUUGGAACAGGACGUCAUAGAGGGUGAGAAUCCCGUAUGUGAUCGGUUGCUUGCGCCCAUGUGAAGCUCUUUCGACGAGUCGAGUUGUUUGGGAUGCAGCUCAAAUGGGUGGUAAUUUCAUCUAAAGCUAAAUAUUGGCCAGAGACCGAUAGCGCACAAGUAGAGUGAUCGAAAGAUGAAAAGCACUUUGGAAGAGAUUAAACAGUACGUGAAAUUGUUGAAAGGGAAGCGCUUGCACCAGACUGCGCGUGCGAUCAUCCGGGUUCUCCCCGGUGCA